GUGUGUGUGUGUGGUCUCAGAAUAAACCCCUUCAGGUGUGUGUGUGUGUGUGAUCUAAGAAUAAACCCCUUCAGGUGUGUGUGUGUGUGUGUGUGUGUGUGUGUGUGAUCUCAGAAAAAAACCCUUCAGGUGUGUGUGUGUGUGUGUGAUCUCAGAAUAAACCCCUUCAGGUGUGUGUGUGUGUGUGUGAUCUCAGAAAAAAACCCUUCAGGUGUGUGUGUGUGUGUGUGUGUGUGUGAUCUCAGAAAAAAACCCUUCAGGUGUGUGUGUGUGUGUGUGGUCUCAGAAUAAACCCCUUCAGGUGUGUGUGUGUGUGUGAUCUCAGAAUAAACCCCUUCAGGUGUGUGUGUGUGUGUGUGUGUGUGUGUGUGUGUGUGUGUGUGUGUGUGUGAUCUCAGAAAAAAACCCUUCAGGUGUGUGUGUGUGUGUGUGAUCUCAGAAUAAACCCCUUCAGGUGUGUGUGUGUGUGUGUGAUCUAAGAAUAAACCCCUUCAGGUGUGUGUGUGUGUGUGUGUGUGUGUGUGUGUGUGAUCUCAGAAUAAACCCCUUCAGGUGUGUGUGUGUGAUCUCAGAAUAAACCCCUUCAGGUGUGUGUGUGUGUGAUCUCAGAAUAAACCCCUUCAGGUGUGUGUGUGUGUGUGUGAUCUAAGAAUAAACCCCUUCAGGUGUGUGUGUGUGUGUGUGUGUGAUCUCAGAAUAAACCCCUUCAGGUGUGUGUGUGUGUGUGAUCUCAGAAUAAACCCCUUCAGGUGUGUGUGUGUGUGUGUGUGAUCUCAGAAUAAACCCCUUCAGGUGUGUGUGUGUGUGAUCUCAGAAUAAACCCCUUCAGGUGUGUGUGUGUGUGUGUGUGAUCUCAGAAUAAACCCCUUCAGGUGUGUGUGUGUGUGUGAUCUCAGAAUAAACCCCUUCAGGUGUGUGUGUGUGUGUGUGUGUGUGUGUUCAG